rnacentral:rRNA from 1 species
ACACGUACACAACCUGCCUAUGACUGGGGCAUAACUUCGGGAAACUGAAGCUAAUUCCCCAUAACACUGCAGAAAGGCAUCUUUCAGCAGUUAAAGCCCCGGCGGUCAUAGAUGGGUGUGCGUUUGAUUAGCUAGUUGGUAAGGUAACGGCUUACCAAGGCUACGAUCAAUAACUGGUCUGAGAGGAUGAUCAGUCACACGGGCACUGAGACACGGGCCCGACUCCUACGGGAGGCAGCAGUAGGGAAUAUUGGACAAUGGAGGCAACUCUGAUCCAGCCAUCCCGCGUGAAGGAUUAAGGCCCUAUGGGUUGUAAACUUCUUUUCUCUGGGAAUAAAAACCGGGAUUUAUCCUGGCUUGAAGGUACCAGAGGAAUAAGCACCGGCUAACUCCGUGCCAGCAGCCGCGGUAAUACGGAGGGUGCAAGCGUUAUCCGGAUUCACUGGGUUUAAAGGGUGCGUAGGUGGUUUUGUAAGUCAGUGGUGAAAGCCCGGAGCUCAACUCCGGAACUGCCAUUGAUACUGCUUAACUUGAAUCAAGUAGAGGUGGAUGGAAUAAUACAUGUAGCGGUGAAAUGCUUAGAUAUGUAUUAGAACACCGAUUGCGAAGGCAGUUCACUAUGCUUGUAUUGACACUGAGGCACGAAAGCGUGGGGAUCAAACAGGAUUAGAUACCCUGGUAGUCCACGCCCUAAACUAUGUAUACUCGACAUAUGCGAUACACUGUAUGUGUCCAAGCGAAAGCGUUAAGUAUACCA